AACGAACGCUGGCGGCAGGCCUAACACAUGCAAGUCGAGCGAGGACUUCGGUCCUAGCGGCGGACGGGCGAGUAACGCGUGGGAACGUGCCCUUUGCUUCGGAAUAGCCCUGGGAAACUGGGAGUAAUACCGGAUGAGCCCUUUGGGGGAAAGAUUUAUCGGCGAAGGAUCGGCCCGCGUUGGAUUAGGUAGUUGGUGGGGUAAUGGCCUACCAAGCCGACGAUCCAUAGCUGGUUUGAGAGGAUGAUCAGCCACACUGGGACUGAGACACGGCCCAGACUCCUACGGGAGGCAGCAGUGGGGAAUCUUAGACAAUGGGGGAAACCCUGAUCUAGCCAUGCCGCGUGAGCGAUGAAGGCCUUAGGGUUGUAAAGCUCUUUCAGCUGGGAAGAUAAUGACGGUACCAGCAGAAGAAGCCCCGGCUAACUCCGUG
rnacentral:rRNA from 1 species